rnacentral:rRNA from 1 species
ACGGAGGAUGCGAGCGUUAUCCGGAUUUACUAGGUUUAAAGGGUGCGUAGGUGGCUUUAUAAGUCAGUGGUGAAAUCUCACGGCUCAACUGUGAAAUUGCCAUUGAUACUGUGGAGCUUGAGUAGAGUUGAGGCAGGCGGAAUGUGUAAUGUAGCGGUGAAAUGCAUAGAUAUUACACAGAACACCGAUUGCGAAGGCAGCUUGCUAAACUUUUACUGACACUGAUGCACGAAAGCGUGGGGAUCAAACAG